rnacentral:lncRNA from 1 species
GAAAAUGUAAAGCUAUGGAUUCCUUCUAGACUAAUAUGGUUUGAUCAAGCAAGACCCCCCUAAAACACUGUCCCAGGUGAUCCAACAUCUAAAACAGCUAAGAUGAUACAGCCUUACAGACUACAAAAACAAGGACCUGGCCAGGUUUCUGUGUUUUAUCAUGAUCCCCAUGGUAUGGACAUCGUCCCCAACCAGCAGGAAGCAGUUUGGAAUGAACGACACCCAAAUUCCCAAAUAUUGUUUAUAAAUGUUUGUUUUCAUUUACAUGGGAUUGGUUAUAAAUUGUAACGAUCACAGUCAAUCUCUUUUUAAAGGGAAAAAAACAACCGGGAAUAGGAUAUAGAAAUGAAUACUUUGCAUUGGUAUGGAUUUUCAUUUAUUGAUACAACUUUAAGGUCAAUUUUGUGAUAUGCAUAUUUCUCCUCUCAUUUAGGUAUUGUGUUUAUACAGCUCUUUUAAAAUGUAAUGCAUAAUUAGAUACAGAUUGUAUAUAGUCAGGUAUAAUAGUCAAAACUUACAGUUAGGUUAGUUAGGUUUUCUAGAUAUACAGAGAUGUAUUUGAGAUGUAUAGAUAUUCUUCAGACCUUUCAAAGACCUACAGAAUAUAUGACAUUUAAUUGGUUUAGGGUUUUUCAUGACAGUGAGGCACAACUGUUCCUGACAACACCAAUUACGUCUGAGAGGAAGAUGGUCAUCGAAGAAACUCAAUUUGGAGUUUGUCUUCAACAUGGCAAGAUUAGCUAUUUGGGCAAGAAACUGCUCUUGCCUGGACUGUUUGAUAAACUGGACAUGCAGGACCCACAGGAAAGUGACUGCUAAACUUGCAAAACAAGACAGUCUUGAAGGGUUCCUGCUUCAUGGAGAAGUCUGCCAGACACACUGUGGCCUAUAGGCUGAAGAUGGAUGCCCCAACGUUACAGAGGAACUUUGGGUGACUGUCCAGGAUGUGAAGAAUGUAAUGAAGACUGUGGAAAACAGGGCUAGUUUCUGCGUGCUGUGGAACAUGGAUGGAGGCUAAGCCAGGAGCACCAGAGCUUCCGAGGUGCAAAGGACAGAAGCAGCAGGAAAUAAACCCGUGGAGACGCUUUGCUAAUGAACACAGGGACUCCGGAGGAGUCGUGUUAGAGAGCCAAGGAGCUGUCAAAUUCCACAAGACCCGUGGCUUAGGAGAGUUUAGGGAAGGGGCUUUCUCUAAAGCCUUACUCCCCAGGAAGGCAAAGUGCUGGAGAAUUAGCAUUAAUCCUUCAUCGGCAUGUCUCCCAGUGGUGUCUGACACUCCUGUGUGAUAUCCUUCCUCUACGUGGGGGCUUACUGAAUCACUUUAAUGAAUAAAAUAUGCAUGGAAUAAUGGGAUUUUGCUUGCAAGUUCCCAUUGUAAGAAGACUGUGGCUAUCAUCUUGGGCAUGUUCUCUUUUGCUUACUC